AGAGUUUGAUCCUGGCUCAGGAUGAACGCUGGCGGCGUGCCUAAUACAUGCAAGUCGAACGCUUUGUGGUUCAACUGAUUUGAAGAGCUUGCUCAGAUAUGACGAUGGACAUUGCAAAGAGUGGCGAACGGGUGAGUAACACGUGGGAAACCUACCUCUUAGCAGGGGAUAACAUUUGGAAACAGAUGCUAAUACCGUAUAACAAUGACAACCGCAUGGUUGUUAUUUGAAAGAUGGUUCUGCUAUCACUAAGAGAUGGUCCCGCGGUGCAUUAGCUAGUUGGUAAGGUAAUGGCUUACCAAGGCGAUGAUGCAUAGCCGAGUUGAGAGACUGAUCGGCCACAAUGGGACUGAGACACGGCCCAUACUCCUACGGGAGGCAGCAGUAGGGAAUCUUCCACAAUGGGCGAAAGCCUGAUGGAGCAACGCCGCGUGUGUGAUGAAGGGUUUCGGCUCGUAAAACACUGUUGUAAGAGAAGAAUGACAUUGAGAGUAACUGUUCAAUGUGUGACGGUAUCUUACCAGAAAGGAACGGCUAAAUACGUGCCAGCAGCCGCGGUAAUACGUAUGUUCCAAGCGUUAUCCGGAUUUAUUGGGCGUAAAGCGAGCGCAGACGGUUAUUUAAGUCUGAAGUGAAAGCCCUCAGCUCAACUGAGGAAUUGCUUUGGAAACUGGAUGACUUGAGUGCAGUAGAGGAAAGUGGAACUCCAUGUGUAGCGGUGAAAUGCGUAGAUAUAUGGAAGAACACCAGUGGCGAAGGCGGCUUUCUGGACUGUAACUGACGUUGAGGCUCGAAAGUGUGGGUAGCAAACAGGAUUAGAUACCCUGGUAGUCCACACCGUAAACGAUGAGUGCUAGGUGUUUGAGGGUUUCCGCCCUUAAGUGCCGCAGCUAACGCAUUAAGCACUCCGCCCUGGGGAGUACGACCGCAAGGUUGAAACUCAAAGGAAUUGACGGGGACCCGCACAACCGGGGGAGCAUGUGGUUUAAUUCAAACAACCCGAAAAACCUUACCAGGUCUUGAAUCCCUUGAACACCCCGAAAAGGAGCGUUCCCUCUCGGGACAAGUGAAAGGGGGGCCAGGGUUUCUUCACUCCUGCCCGGGAAAUUUGUGUUAAUCCCCCACAAGCGGAACCCUUAUUACUAGUUGCCAGCAUUUAGUUGGGCACUCUAGUGAGACUGCCGGUGACAAACCGGAGGAAGGUGGGGAUGACGUCAAAUCAUCAUGCCCCUUAUGACCUGGGCUACACACGUGCUACAAUGGCGUAUACAACGAGUUGCCAACCCGCGAGGGUGAGCUAAUCUCUUAAAGUACGUCUCAGUUCGGAUUGUAGGCUGCAACUCGCCUACAUGAAGUCGGAAUCGCUAGUAAUCGCGGAUCAGCACGCCGCGGUGAAUACGUUCCCGGGUCUUGUACACACCGCCCGUC
rnacentral:rRNA from 1 species